CUCCUUUGACGUUAGCGGCGGACGGGUGAGUAACACGUGGGUAACCUACCUAUAAGACUGGGAUAACUUCGGGAAACCGGAGCUAAUACCGGAUAAUAUUUCGAACCGCAUGGUUCGAUAGUGAAAGGUGGUUUUUGCUAUCACUUAUAGAUGGACCCGCGCCGUAUUAGCUAGUUGGUAAGGUAACGGCUUACCAAGGCGACGAUACGUAGCCGACCUGAGAGGGUGAUCGGCCACACUGGAACUGAGACACGGUCCAGACUCCUACGGGAGGCAGCAGGG
rnacentral:rRNA from 1 species